GGCAGUCGGGGGCUGGAGGCGGGGCCUGCGUGUAGGUCCGGUUAGACCGGGAUCGCCCCGCCCGGCGGGCGGGCCGCUGGAUUCUCUACCACCUGUGCCUCGUGGCUCUGUGGUGACCCCGUUGGCGACCUAAGCGAGGUCCCUGGCUGCUUGCGAGUCUCGGCUGGCUCACCGCCAUAUCGGGAAGGAUGGAAAGAAAAGCAGAGCUGGCGGGGUCAUCGUUGUCCCUUUUCCGGAGAGGAGCGCCGCUUUGAGGAAAAAGCGUCUCGCCUUGAAAUUACAAACGCAGAGCCCAGCGAGUGGGUCGUCGUGGGGCCAGCACCCGUCGGGGCUCCAGUUGUGUCCUGAGGCACUGGGGACUGCCUGGAACCCCUGGGCCCUUGUUUCAAGAGUUGGCAGUAAUCGGACAUAUUUAGGGACAAUACUUGUGAUUUCCGGGGCUCGGCAUCUGCUCUUGGAUCUUUACAAGGCCUGCUAGAUUUCAGACUCUCAAAGGUUUGGCCACUGCAGUCCCAUUCCCUAAGGUAAAGGAAGGGAGAUGAAUUAUUAGACACCGGGCCACUAGUGUAUUGGGGCUCACCUCUCUGGGGCCCUUGCCCUUGAGCAACUAAUCGUUUUAUUAAGAGGAAAAGACAUGAACGAAAAAGUCUUGCAGGGCUAUCCUGGUCACUGCUUCAUUCUCCUGGCUCCACUGAAAUUCCUGACGCGUCCCUGCUGCCGCUGCCUGGGACAGCAGAGGUGCUUCUCUGAACUGUCUGGGAUCAGGUCACUUGGAUUGUUCCCAGCUGUGGGCUAUUACAAGUGAAGCCACUGUGAACAUUCUGGACAAGUCUGUGGUCAUAUGUUUCAUGUCUCCUGAGUGAAUACGUACAGGGAGACUGGCUUGGAAUAAGGCAGUAGUGAAUGGGGCUGACCAGCGAGGAGGCUUUGACCAUCAUCCAGAUGUCCUUGUCCAACUGGGAAGUGGUUAUAAAUCAAGAUCUGACAAGGGAAAUCUCAGUAAUGACUCCUUUCAAAAGUGUAGGGGGCGACAGUGGGAGAUUUGGGAUUUGAAUCAUGACUCCUAGACUUCCCAGCUGGGUGACUUCAGCAGCGAGGCUAAAGUUUGUUUCACACUCAAAUGCCUACAAGAAGCGAAGCCACCAUACACAACACAUCCGAGAGCAUCUGUCCUAAAAAAUGGCAGCCAUUGCCAAUUCAAGCUACCGGCGCCCUGCAGGAAAGCAAAGCACUGUAUUUCAGCCAAAGAAAACAGUUCUGGGUCAGUGCCCAUCAAACACUGAAAGAUUGGCCUUAUCUUACGCACACUGAGACAGAACACAAGGACUACUGAGAUAUAGGUGCAUUUCUAAAGAAGAACUUCGGGAGACAGGAGCUAAAACUCUUGGCUCUCCAGGAACAAGUCACCUUUAAGAAGGUCAGGAAACAGAUGCUUAACUACAGAAAAAACUGAUGGUUGCCAGAGGGGAGGUGGGGGGGGUUGAAUAGGUGGCGGGGAUUAAGGAGGGCACUCUAGAUGGGCACCUGGUGUUGUGUCACUAAAUUCUACAUGUGAAACUAAUAUUAUACUGUAUAUCAUCUAACUGGAAUUUAAAUAAAAACUUGGAAAA